rnacentral:rRNA from 1 species
AUUGAACGCUGGCGGCAGGCCUAACACAUGCAAGUCGAGCGGAUGAAGGGAGCUUGCUCCUGGAUUCAGCGGCGGACGGGUGAGUAAUGCCUAGGAAUCUGCCUGGUAGUGGGGGAUAACGUCCGGAAACGGGCGCUAAUACCGCAUACGUCCUGAGGGAGAAAGUGGGGGAUCUUCGGACCUCACGCUAUCAGAUGAGCCUAGGUCGGAUUAGCUAGUUGGUGGGGUAAAGGCCUACCAAGGCGACGAUCCGUAACUGGUCUGAGAGGAUGAUCAGUCACACUGGAACUGAGACACGGUCCAGACUCCUACGGGAGGCAGCAGCGGGGAAUAUUGGACAAUGGGCGAAAGCCUGAGCCAGCCAUGCCGCGUGUGUGAAGAAGGUCUUCGGAUUGUAAAGCACUUUAAGUUGGGAGGAAGGGCAGUAAGUUAAUACCUUGCUGUUUUGACGUUACCAACAGAAUAAGCACCGGCUAACUGCGU